ACUCCAAAACAUCAUGAAGUGCAUGAUAUGCUCUUUGGUUUUUUUAAUGCUUGGUCCAUUCGGUGUCCUGGCUCAGGUGCAGCUGGUCCAGUCUGGAUCAGCAGUGGUGAAGCCUGGCGGUACCCUCAGCCUGACUUGCACAGUCUCAUUUUCUGAUGCUAGUAAAAGCAUCAAUGAUUAUGCUUGGAGCUGGAUCCGGCAGCCUCCUGGGAAAGGCCUGGAAUGGAUGGGAGAUAUAGACCCAGCAGAUGACAGCACAGAUUAUGCUCCGGCAUUCCAAUCCCGGAUAAGCAUCUCAGCCGAUUUUUCCACUAAUAAGAUCCACCUUCGACUGAGCUCCGUAGCAGCUGCAGACACGGCCACAUAUUACUGUGCUGGAGAGACACAGUGA